rnacentral:lncRNA from 1 species
UAGGAAGCCAUAGGUGUCCUAGACUAAAGGAAACUAUAAUAAACAUACAAAUAUAGAAGAUCUUUUUUUUUUUUUUUUUUGACAUCUGUGAAUCGACAAGGCCCGAUCCAUAGCCAAUCCCUACUACGCGGGGUAACGCGACUGAGUGGAGUCGAACUCCGGUGGGGAAAGCGGAGUCCAAUGGACUUAACCACUUGACUAAAG